CAAAUGAAUUGACGGGGCCCGCACAAGCGGUGGAGCAUGUGGUUUAAUUCGACGCAACGCGAAGAACCUUACCAGGGCUUGACAUCCCCUGACCGCGUAUGAAAGUACGAAUUCACCUUCGGGUGACAGGGAGACAGGUGGUGCAUGGUUGUCGUCAGCUCGUGUCGUGAGAUGUUGGGUUAAGUCCCGCAACGAGCGCAACCCCUACGUUUAGUUGCUAACGCGUGAAGGCGAGCACUCUAGACGAACUGCCGUUGACAAAACGGAGGAAGGUGGGGAUGACGUCAAAUCAUCAUGCCCCUUAUGUUCUGGGCUACACACGUGCUACAAUGGCCGGUACAGACGGACGCAAAGCCGCGAGGUGGAGCAAAUCCUAAAAAGCCGGUCUCAGUUCGGAUUGCAGGCUGCAAUUCGCCUGCAUGAAGUCGGAAUCGCUAGUAAUCGCAGGUCAGCAUACUGCGGUGAAUACGUUCCCGGGCCUU
rnacentral:rRNA from 1 species